rnacentral:sRNA from 1 species
ACAUUCGGAUUGCUCCUGCUGCCUCACACACACUAACCUAACCAUCUUGGGGUGGACUCCCUGCCAGCCCAACUGUUGUAUUUUCAGUUCUUCCAGUGUGAAUCAGUUAAUAUUCUCGGGAACGAGGGAGAGGUUGAUCCUAUGAGGAAAUCAACCACAGUGAAAAGGCUUGGGCCGCUUUUGUUUUCACCUCCUUUUGUUGAACAAAUUUGAUUUCCGGAGUCAGUCAUUUUACUGUCAAGACAUUUCUUCGGCAUUCUGCAACAGGUGGGGAUUUAAGAACCAAGAAUCCAGAGCUCUCCUACCAGGUCCCCAGAAACCUUUCCAACGUGGCUAGAUCCAUCAGAAACUGAAGCCGUGGAGAACGCUCUCGGGGCCUUUGCCACUUCUUGGAGUAGAAGCCGACAGAGAGCUGUUUGGAAACUUCUCCUUCACACACCAGUUGAAGACUAGGCUUUGGAGGUUUUCAAAGCAGACGGUGCUUGGAUGGGCAGGGAGAAGUAACAUUCUGCAAAUCGCCGUCAGAGGUCCUGAGGACACAGACCUACCUGGCUUGCAUUCCCCUUGCUGAAUG